UACAGAGGUCCCAAGCGUUGUUCGGAUUCAUUGGGCGUAAAGGGUGUGUAGGUGGCGCCGUAAGUCGGGUGUGAAAUCUCGGGGCUUAACUCCGAAACUGCAUUCGAUACUGCGGUGCUUGAGGACUGGAGAGGAGACUGGAAUUCACGGUGUAGCGGUGAAAUGCGUAGAUAUCGUAAGGAAGACCAGUGGCGAAGGCGGGUCUCUGGACAGUUCCUGACGCUGAGGCACGAAGGCCAGGGGAGCAAACGGG
rnacentral:rRNA from 1 species